rnacentral:lncRNA from 1 species
GAUUUUGUACUGUCAUGGCACUGCAAGCAAUAUAGGAAAUAUUCUUGAAGGACUGCAAUCCUCCGAAAUUUUCAUUCAAUAAUCUUUAAACCAAAGAAGCCCUGGGUGGAAGCUUCAGAAACAAAGAUAUUGCCUUGCACAAUGCACAUCUUCUAAGGAAAACUGCAGGUUUUUGCACAGCAGGCGCAAAAAACAAGAAACCAUAUUGGUAGCAACAGUCAUAAUAACAAAACCAAAUGGUUGAGCCAACAAGAUUACCAUAUACUGAACCGUCAUACACCAAGGCCAGAUUUUCUAACAUUCGGUACUAGUUCCAAUAAAUUGCAAAUACUUGAAUGAAGCCAAGUUGAAGGCCGAGCCAGGCUCAGAAAUAUGUGUCAUUCCAUACACAAAUACAGCAGCAUCACAGGAUGGAAAACAACCUCAAAAUAUAUUCACAGCUUUGGCUUCUUCAGGUGGAAUGGGGCAGAACCACCUGAAUUAAUUGUUUGAAAUGAUCUUCAAUCCAUCAAAAGACCGGAAUUGCAUCAACAUCAGAAAAACUGGUGGAAAACAGCAGGCUGCUCUAGAUGUUCCAAUUAUUAUGCAGCUUUAUCUAGAAAGAGAUUCAAUUUAUCAGAGGCAAGCUAACAUAAAUCGCACAUUUGUAGUCAACAUCAUGAACCAGGUUCCAAAAUUGAAGAUACAAAUGGUUGUAUUCACUAUUCAGUAUUGCCAUUAACAUUAGUAAAACUACACUAUGUAGUUAAAUACACAAAUAUGACAACAUAAUGUAUCCCUACACGUACAAGAAAAAACAUGAUAGAACAAUAUUCGCAGGAAAAUGUUAUAAUGAAUUGGUAAAUACUAAUUAGUAAUUACCAUCAUCAGCAAUUUCACUUGUGCAGCUGGCAUCAGAACUCUGUACUUCUGGGGUAUAUUGGUCCAGAAACAAUUCGAUUGUCCUCCAGUAGCGGUCCCCUCCAGAAAUCCAGGUAUCCAUAUGCAUACCACUGGGAAAAUCAACAAACCUACAAUUCCUGUUAUGUUCAACAGCUUUGUCAUACAGCAUCCUCAUGUGUGACGGGGGAACCAGUUCAUCUUGCAAUCCAGAAAGGAAGAGAAUGGGUUGUUUGACCUGCAAUGACAUGCCAAAACUCAGGCAACGGAUAACACAAACCAUGGGGCUAAAAUAAAGAUCUGAGAACUGCAGAAUGGCAUAAAUAGAUUUGAAACCUUACGGCUUAACAGAUUAUGAUUAUUUCUGAAGAUGGGGCGGACUAAAAUAAAGAUCUGAGAACAGCAGAAUAGCAUAAAUACAGAUUUGAAAUCUUACAGCUUAACAAUAAUAUAGGUUUCAUUUUGGUGUAAUCUUUGAAUACAAAGUCCAAAGGAGUAAAAACAAACUGUAUGAAUCAAAAACAGAUCAACACUAUAUUUUCUCCCCAAAGAUUAAAAAUAAGAAUACGGAAGUUGUAACCAAGCAUGAAAACAACACCGUAUAAAAUGUUGAUUUAAACCAACCUCCAAAACUCACCUCUGCAACAACAUCAAGUGUACUCCAUGGAGAGCGAACAACGCAGUUAAGAAGUUUUGGGCCUUUGGCAGAACUACCGCCUAUGAACCAUCUUAAGAAGGGCAGCAUGAUACCAGCCAUAUCCAAUAUAGAUGUAAAAGUAUUUUCCAAUAUUAGAGCAGACACCUGCAACAUAGAACAACAUCUAGCAAGAUCAUUAUGAAUUGCAAAGGCCAAAGCUUAGCACACUUCUAUAGAUGUUAUUAGCUUACCAAAAUAUGACCUAAAUAAUGUUGCCCUAACCACAUGACUGAGUUCACAACCGUAAAAUCUAAGAGCCUGCUUUAUGAAGGUGUCCUAUGUUGAUCACUAAAGUAAAGUGUUGGCUGGACGUAAUUUCCUUUAAUGGGUGAACAAGGUCUGGAAGCUGGUUUGCGGUAUUUAAGUUAUUGAGUUCUGGCCAAUCUAGAUGGAAGGGGACAGAAAGAUCUGGGUCUGUUUUUUUCUUUCUUUUCAAGUAAAAACUUCUCUCCUAUAUGCUGCCUUACAACAUACUAACAUCGUUUGAUUUUCAGCAUAUAUCAAGACUGUAACCACCUAUCUGCUAUCAACAAUGGUCAUGAUCAUGUGUCAUCACUUGAUUUUCAGCAUAUUGUGACAGUCUUAACAUUCUUCACAAUCUUCUGGCAAGAUCCAUAGCAGAAUAAUCUUGUAACAGAAGGUAAUCUACAUCAUAACUACAUGAAAAUCUAAGUCUAAUUUAUGAACAUAUGCAUGCAAGGUUUUUGAGUCGCCGACUAAUCGCCGACUAAUCGCCGAGUCGUUGGAGCGAGGUUGGCUUGCGCAGGCGACUUGGCUUGAGGAGCGAGUCGCGCGGCUGGUAGGCUAGUCGACGAUUAGUCGACGACUAGUCGGGCGACUAGGACCUCAAAGCAGGGCGGCUUGCUUCAGCAAGGCCAAGGGAGGGAAGACUGGGAAGGUGAGGAGGCCAGAGUUCGAGGCGGGGGAGGAGGAGACGAAGCUGGGAGUGCGCCGCCUGUACGAGAAGCACGGAAGAGACAAAGGAGAAAGGCACAUGGGAGAGCAGAUGCACGGUCCAGAUUAGAGCAUAUGGACGGUUUGGAUUUUAUUUGGAAGCUAGGGUUACAUAAUGGGCCUAUUGGGCCAGCUCUCUAGCACGAAACAGAGGAGGAGCAAGACGCGUGCUCCCAUCCCACAUCAGAAUCGCCGCCUCCAUUGCUCCUACGAGCUGCUGCUGCCUUCUCCGAGCUGAAGUAUCCUCCAAGCAGCUGCGUUCCCCCUCCUCCGCCUGCAACAGCACCUCUUCCCCCUCCUCCUCCUCCUCCUCCUCCUCCUCCUCCUCCUCCUCCUCUUAACACCUGGGGCGACUUGGGGCGAUUAAUCACGACGAGUCGCAGACUAAUCGCAGCGAGCCACUAGUCGGAGGCAUGGCAACUUGACUUGGCUAGGCGACUCAAAAACCUUGUAUGCAUGUUUUGAAUGUUGAUCCAAUGAAAUUUGUUCGAAAAUAGAAGUGCAGUGGAGGAUACUGCCAUCACAAAUCCAACAGCAGAGAGAUCAAAUGAACCUAUUCUCACUUCUCUACAGCAAUAUGCAUAGACAAAUCAGUUUACAAUGAGUACCUUGUCAGGAUUGUUUUUUGCAAGAACUGCUCCAACAGCACCUCCUAAAGAUCUCCCAAAGAUAACUAUCCUGGAUGUGUCAAUGUCCUUCCUCUGAACUAGAUGAUCAAGUGCGGCCUAUCAAAAGAGAGAACUGUAAGAAGAGUAAACAGAACCACAAAAGUGAGAACAAAACCAAAAUGCAGGAAACAACAAACCUGUGCAUCUUUUGUGAUGCCACUCUGAGAAGGAUAACCCUCGCUCUCACCAUACCUACAAACAUGAUCAAAGUUCAGGUUCACUAAUAAAUGAAAGAAAGUGAAGACAUUUGAAUCACAUAUGAUACUGAGAGCUUCAAGAAAGAAGAAUGAAACAAAGAUAGUAUAACUGGUUUAUACUGUGGAGAACCAUACCCUCUAUAAGAAAGCAUAAACACAUUGCACUGUAGCCGCUGCAUCAUUAGUCGAACGCAUUCCAAACGAUGUGCAAUAUCUAUAACGAGUGAAGGAUUUUAACAGAGUAUAGCUUCAACACAAUUUGUCAUCAAUGAGAUACUCCCUCCGUCUAGAAAAUACUUGUCGGGGAAAUGGAUAAAAAUGGAUGUAUCUAGAACUAGAAUACAUCUAGAUACAUCCAUUUCUCCGGCAAGUAUUUUCGGACGGAGGGAGUACUAUUUUAUUAGUUCUCAUGUCCAUAAAAAGAAAUUCAGGAUACUGCCGGCAUUUUCCUGAAAGAACAGAAUGGUCGGACCUGCAUCAGGAAAACACUAUGAAACAGACAACAAUGUGGGAACAAAACAAAUGUGAAGUUGAGAACAAACUGAAGAUUGAGCACACUAGUUCCUAAGCAUGCAUAUGCUAUAAAAAUUUCAUGCUAUCAGUGAUGUAGGAAAUGCGAGAGGACUGAAGCUCUGAGCAUGACUUUUUUUGUUUUGUGAAAUGCUCUCUUGAAACUCUUUUGUGCUCAUAUAAUUAUCAACAUCAAGCAUCACAAACACCUAGUUAUAGAACAAUAUCAAGACUGUAACUUUUCUUCCUAACCUAAAAUUAAUAAAAACACCAGCAAAUGAUGUGGCCAACGAGAUAUAGACAAGAAGAAGUGUAUCUCAUUUGAUGCAUAGACAAGAUCAGCUAGAGUAGUAGAUACAACUAGCUAGAGGAACUAACGCAUGCAUACAAAUUCUAAUUUUGCAGAUAGUUGCCCAGCUGGUCCAGUUACACAUCUGGGGCCAAUGAGUGAAAAGCAAAGGUGAUUAGAAGGAAGUAGGUUCAAUGCAGCGUGAGCCGCUUUUCAAGGGAAGAGACAAAUGUGUUGACAUGCCGAAGUAUUUUGAAUGUACACGUGGCAAUUGCAUAUUUCUCGUCCACAGAUCACCGCAAAUAUUUCCCAUCUCUUCCUGCUUCGAACCAAAUCAUGGUUCACGUGAACUUUGUAAUCAUGCAUGCCUUUAUAUAUGGUCAGAAAGCUUAUUGGGUAUACUUUCUAAACUUGCACAACUUUUAAAACUAACCCAUAGAGAUAUACAGUAGAAAACCAAAUCAACAACCAUGAAACAUAGUGAUGCGAUGCAAAUAUAUAACCGCAUAGAGACAAAGAAAGCAAUACGUCACAAUAAAAGUAUGAAAACAAAAUUUGUGGAAUCUAACCCUACCGUGUGUUUAACGGUCAUGACAUCUGUACGGUCUAUUGAACAUAAAUAGCACAUCAGAGAAAUACUAUACUAAGCACCACAUACACCAGCGAGUACCGACUAGAAAAUCACAAUGAAGCUGGAACUUGAUAAACCAAUUCCAAUUGAAACUCAUUGUGAGAUUGGCCAAUCAAUCCUGAAUCGACACACAGAACUACAGAGAACUGUGUAAUAAAACCAAGGAACCCUAUAGAUCAAUUAAGAACAUAUGACAUAUCCACGCAGGCAGCGGCAGUAAAGUUCAAAUCCUAUUAUAUUAGCAGCAAAAAUCAUAAACAUCGGGCAUUUCUUAAGUGAACGCCGUAAACCCUACCCAGAUCCACGGACCCAUGUCCCGAUCAAGGGAGCUAAGAGAUGAAGCGACGCCACUAUCUAACCACGCAAUUUGGGUCAAAGCCAAUCCCUCCAGUACAGACUCGAAGAGAUCCACCGCCUUACGCUCCAAUAACCCGAACAGUUCCUGAUACCGAUCGAAUCAUUGGACAAGGGGGGGAGGAACCAACAAACAAACCGGGAGAGGUUGGGGAGGAUCGGUGACUGGUUGGUACUUGCCUCGGCAGGUGGGAGAGUGGCGGAGGAACCAGGAGUGGAGGCGCACGCCGUCGGCGGCGCGGAGCCAGACGUCCUCGUAGAUGAGGCGGAGGCGCGAGGGCUUGAUGGGGUAAGCGCGCGGGAGGCCAGGGAGCACGGGCACGUAGACGAGGCGCUCCUGCAGCGCCACCAGCGCCGCCAGGCCCACCACCGCCAUGCCCCCUGCGCCGUACACCAGCGCCUUGAGCCACCCCACCAUCUCCGCCGCCGAUGGGAGGGAAGGGCUCCGUCAGGCGGGUGGUGGUGGUGAUGGGCGCGGUCGCUGCUGCUCUUUGACUCGCGUCGUCGGUCGGGGUCGGAUUUGGGUUUAGUCUAACGGGACCGGGCUGCUUCGAGCCAGAGCUCUUGUGCGUCUACGGCUCUAGGCACGUCAAGCCUAUGUAGCCGGACCACUCAAACACCUAUAAGCUCCGGAUGGACAGCUCUGUCACUGCCGAAUCAUAUUACCCCCCAACUGGCUCCUUUAUACCCAUUCAGAAUGGUUCGCUAGCUAACUGGCACCCCUCAAUUGAUGUCGGAAAAAAAGACAUCCCUCAAACACACCUCAUAUGUGUGGCGGAUAUGAGGUGGCGCAGACAUGCCCGGACGCGUCUGUCACGUCGGACUGGCGGGCGAGACUCGCAAGGAAACCAUCGUUCCACUGGAGCUCACCAGUCUACAUUCAUGUCUCUGUUUCAGCGUCGCUCGAGGGACAAAACCUGGCUAUUUAAACUGGACGACGAGGGUAAACCCUAGCCGCCCCAUUUUCUCCCCCUCUCUCACCUCCGAGCUGCUAUCGCGACAUCGUGCACACACCAGCCCACUUUGACCUCGUCGUCCGCCUGCCGCCAUGGUCCUCACCAAGGUCACCUACUACAAAAUGUUGACCCCGAAGCGUCGGGCGGAGAUCCAGGUGGAGAUGCACGCCCUCGAGGCACGUCACGCUGCUCGCGUUGUAGCCGACCUAUCUCCGAACUCUCUGGAUGAGGCGAAGCAGGGAGAAGGAGGCGGCGCUGGAACAGGAGGAGGGUGGCAGAGGCGAUGGAAGAGGGGGGCACCGAAGGAGGAGGGGACACAGGCGUCGAACCGGUAGAAUUAGGUGUCCUUCAAGUUGAUGGAGAUGGCCACCAUGAUGAUUUUUCUCUUUGACAGAGUACCGGGAAAGGCCUUCAGAUUGGACCAUUGUGGAACAACGAUGUGCGACGGCGGAAGUAGAAGAACUCUGAUGUAUUAUUAGGGUUUUCAGGGCGAGGGAUAAAUAUAGGCGUCGAGAGGCGGUGUAAUGGAGCACCAGGGAGCCCACAUGGCCUCACCAUGCGUCUCCAUGGGCCCUGGCCUAGGUUGGCGACUCCUGGAAGCUUCCCAAUGCAAAAGAAAGAGAAGUCGUGAUAUUUCGGGAUUUUUGGAGCUCCAUAAAAUUGGUUUCCCGAGAAUCCAAAAACAACAGAAAACGGCAACUGGCACUAGACAUUGAGUUAAUAUGUUAGUUAAGAAAAAACAUAUAAAUUGGCGCAAAAAAAACAACAAAAAUUAUAUAUACAUUUGAGACGUAUCAUCCACUCUGGAUUUCCAAUAUGUUUGGCGAUGUAAUGCAAGACACAAAUAGCCAAGGCAUGCUUAUAUGAUAAAAAUCUAUAGUAAAUAUAGCUAGAAAAACUAGACACGUCAUGCUAGCGACAAUGAGAAACAUGUGGUAAGGCAUAUGCUAGCGACCAUGAACUAAUUGGUUUCAUGAUUUGAGGAAGUUCCAGCCUUUUCUUUUGUUCUUAUUACUCUUAUAGGUUGGAGACACCUAAGCGGUAGGAGUUGCCGGCGAGGAUCCAGUCGCCCAAUGGUGAUUGAGCUCUUACUUGGUGUGAGAGUGAGGAAGAAUGUGAGACUUUGUGGUGUUGGGCAUACCUGGUGUUGCCCACACAUCUUCAAUAGUGACUAGCUUCCUUCAAAGGAAGUGAACAUCAUAUACAUCUUCGUGUGUGUGCCUUAGUUAUUUCAUUCAUUUCCGAGCUCUUUCAGUUGCGUAUUAACUUGUUGUUUAACUUAACUACCAUCAUAUAUGUUGUGGUUACCUAGUUGUAUUUAGGAGAAAUUUUGCGCAAAGUCUAAAUUGUAAAGAAAAUAAUAAAAAAACCGGUGGAUGCUUAUUCAACACCCCCACUCCAUGGCGGUUAUUUUAAUCCUUGAAUGUGUUAUUUUUUGAAAUUUUCUAAGAAUUAUAUGCCUACUAGAAACAACUAUGAGGACUACUAUCGACCUACACAAUUUUUUGUUAGUUCUUGUGAGCUAUGUCAUAAUUGAGACCUAUAAGUUAAUACUUAUUUGUUUGAUGUAUUGGUAGAGGGAGCGAUAUUUGAUCAGAAGAUGAACAUAUAUUAUGUGCAUAGGAUGACAAAGGGUGGAGCUAGCUGAUGAGCGAUAUUUUAACACUCCUCUGCCCUUUGUUUAAAGCGAGAUAUUUCAAUUAAAUUGAGGUAUUUGUUGGAAAUAUGCCCUAGAGGCAAUAAUAAAAGGAUUAUUAUUAUAUUUCCUUGUUCAUGAUAAUUGUCUUUUAUUCAUGCUAUAAUUGUAUUAUCCGGAAAUCGUAAUACAUGUGUGAAUACAUAGACCACAACAUGUCCCUAGUGAGCCUCUAGUUGACUAGCUCGUUAAUCAACAGAUAGUCGUGGUUUCCUGACUAUGGACAUUGGAUGUCAUUGAUAACGAGAUCACAUCAUUAGGAGAAUGAUGUGAUGGACAAGACCCAAUCCUAAGCAUAGCACAAGAUCGUGUAGUUUGUUUGCUAGAGCUUUUCUAAUGUCAAGUAUCUUUUCCUUAGACCAUGAGAUCGUGUAACUCCCGGAUACCGUAGGAGUGCUUUGGGUGUACCAAACGUCACAAUGUAACUGGGUGACUAUAAAGGUAUACCGCGGGUAUCUCCGAAAGUGUCUGUUGGGUUGACACGGAUCGAGACUGGGAUUUGUCACUCCGUAUGACGGAGAGGUAUCUCUGGGCCCACUCGGUAAUGCAUCAUCAUAAUGAGCUCAAAGUGACCAAGUGUCUGGUCACAGGAUCAUGCAUUACGGUACGAGUAAAGUGACUUGCCGGUAACGAGAUUGAACGAGGUAUUGGGAUACCGACGAUCGAAUCUCGGGCAAGUAACAUACCAAUUGACAAAGGGAAUUGUAUACGGGGUUGCUUGAAUCCUUGACAUCGUGGUUCAUCCGAUGAGAUCAUCGAGGAGUAUGUGGGAGCCAACAUGGGUAUCCAGAUCCCACUGUUGGUCAUUGACCGGAGAGCCGUCUCGGUCAGGUCUACGUGUCUCCCGAACCCGUAGGGUCUACACACUUAAGGUUCGGUGACGCUAGGGUUGUAGAGAUAUUAGUAUGCAGCAAACCGAAAGUUGUUCGGAGUCCCGGAUGAGAUCCCGGACGUCACGAGGAGUUCCGGAAUGGUCCGGAGGUAAAGAAUUAUAUAUGGGAAGUCGAGUUUCGGCCAUCGGGAAAGUUUCGGGGGUCACCGGUAUUGUAUCGGGCCCACCGGAAGGGUCCCGGGGGUCCACCGGGUGGGGCCACCUAUCCCGGAGGGCCCCGUGGGCUGAAGUGGGGAGGGGAACCAGCCCCUUGUGGGCUGGUGUGCCCCCCUUGGCCCCCCCCUGCGCCUAGGGUUGGAAACCCUAGGGUGGGGGGAGGCGCCUCCACUUGCCUUGGGGGCAAGCCACCCCCCUUGGCUGCCGCCCCCCUUGGAGAUGGGAUCUCCUAGGGACAGCACCCCCCUGGGGUCCCUAUAUAAAGAGGGGGGAGGGAGGGCAGCCGCACCCUUGCACUUGGCGCCUUCCUUCCCCCCUGCUACACCUCUCCCUUCCGCAGACGCUUGGCGAAGCCCUGCCGGGAUCCCUGCUGCAUCCACCACCACGCCGUCGUGCUACUGGAUCUUCAUCAACCUCUCCUUCCCCCUUGCUGGAUCAAGAAGGAGGAGACAUCACGCUGAUCGUACGUGUGUUUAAUGCGGAGGUGCCGUCCGUUCGGCGCUAGGAUCUUCUGGUGAUUUGGAUCACGACGAGUACGACUCCCUCAACCUCGUUCUCUUGAACGCUUCCGCUCGCGAUCUACAAGGGUAUGUAGAUGCACUCCCCUCUCUCGUUGCUAUAAGAACUCAUAGAUUGAUCUUGGUGAACGUAGGAAAUUUUUUAUUUUAUGCAACGUUCCCCAACAGUGGCAUCAUGAGCUAGGUCUAUGCGUAGUUCUCUUUGCACGAGUAGAACACAAAUCUGUUGUGGGCGUAGAUGUUGUCAACUUUCUUGCCACUACUAGUCUUAUUUUGCUUCAGCGGUAUUGUGGGAUGAAGCGGCCCGGACCGACCUUACACGUACGCUUACGUGAGACAGGUUCCACCGACUGACAUGCACUAGUUGCAUAAGGUGGCUAGCGGGUGUCUGUCUCUCCCACUUUAGUUGGAGCGGAUUCGAUGAAAAGGGUCCUUAUGAAGGGUAAAUAGAAGUUGACAAAUCACGUUGUGGCUUUUUCAUAGGUAAGAAAACGUUCUUGCUAGAACCCUAUUGCAGCCACGUAAAAGAUGCAACAACAAUUAGAGAACGUCUAACUUGUUUUUGCAGCAAUUGCUUUGUGAUGUGAUAUGGCCAAAAGUUGUGCUGAAUGAUGAAUGAUAUAUUGUGAUGUAUGAGAUCAUGUUCUUGUAAUAGGAAUCACGAAUUGCAUGUCGAUGAGUAUGAGAACCGGCAGGAGCCAUAGGAGUUGUCUUAAUUAUUGUAUGACCUGCGUGUCAAUGAUUUAACGCCAUGUAAUUACUUUACUUUAUUGCUAAACCGUUAGCUAUAGUAGUAGAAGUAAUAGUUGGCGAGCAACUUCAUGGAGACACGAUGAUGGAGAUCAUGAUGAUGGAGAUCAUGGUGUCAUGCCGGUGACGAAGAUGAUCAUGGAGCCCCGAAGAUGGAGAUCAAAGGAGCUAUAUGAUAUUGGCCAUAUCAUGUCACUACUAUUUGAUUGCAUGUGAUGUUUAUCAUGUUUUUGCAUCUUGUUUACUUAGAACGACGGUAGUAAAUAAGAUGAUCCCUCAUAAUAAUUUCAAGAAAGUGUCCCCCCUAACUGUGCGCCGUUGUGACAGUUCGUUGUUUCGAAGCACCACGUGAUGAUCGGGUGUGAUAGAUUCUAACGUUCACAUACAACGGGUGUAAGACAAAUUUACACAUGCAAAACACUUAGGUUAACUUGACGAGCCUAGCAUGUACAGACAUGGCCUCGGAACACAAGAGACCGAAAGGUCGAACAUGAGUCAUAUGAAAGAUACGAUCAACAUGGAGAUGUUCACCGAUGAUGACUAGUCCGUCUCAUGUGAUGAUCGGACACGGCCUAGUCGUCUCGGAUCAUGUAACACUUAGAUGACUAGAGGGAUGUCUAAUCUGAGUGGGAGUUCAUUAAAUAAUUUGAUUAGAUGAACUUAAUUAUCAUGAACUUAGUCUAAAAUCUUUGCAAAAAUGUCUUGUAGAUAAAAUGGCCAACGCUCAUGUCAAAAUGAACUUCAACGCGUUCCUAGAGAAAACCAAGCUGAAAGAUGAUGGCAGCAACUAUACGGACUGGGUCCGGAACCUGAGGAUCAUCCUCAUAACUGCCAAGAAAGCAUAUGUCCUAGAAGCACCGCUAGGUGACCCACCUGCUCUCCCAGCACUGCAAGACGAUUUGAAUGUUUGGCAGACACGUGUUGAUGAUUACUCCCUCGUUCAGUGCGGCAUGCUUUACAGCUUAGAACCGGGGCUCCAAAAGCGUUUUGAGCAACACAGAGCAUAUGAGAUGUUCGAGGAGCUGAAAAUGGUUUUCCAAGCUCACGCACGAGUUGAGAGAUAUGAAGUCUCCGACAAGUUCUAUAGUUGUAAGAUGGAGGAAAAUAGUUCUGUCAGUGAGCACAUACUCAAAAUGUCUGGGUUGCACAGCCGCCUGUCCCAACUGGACAUUAACCUCCCGGACGAGGCGGUCAUUGACAGAAUCCUUCAGUCGCUCCCACCGAGCUACAAGAGCUUUGUGAUGAACUACAAUAUGCAGGGGAUGGUGAAAACUAUUCCUGAAGUAUUUUCAAUGCUGAAGUCAGCAGAGGUAGAAAUCAGAAAGGAACAUCAAGUGUUGAUGGUCAAUAAAACCACCAAGUUCAAGAAAGGCAAGGGUAAGAAGAACUUCAAGAAGGACGGCAAGGAUGUUGCCACGCCCGGUAAGCCAGUUGCCGGGAAGAAGUCAAAGAGUGGACCCAAGCCUAAAACUGAGUGCUUUUAUUGCAAAGGGAAGGGUCACUGGAAGCGGAACUGCCCCAAAUACUUAGCGGACAAGAAGGCCGGCAACACUAAAGGUAUAUGUGAUAUACAUGUAAUUGAUGUGUACCUUACCAGUGCUCGUAGUAGCUCCUGGGUAUUUGAUACCGGUGCCGUUGCUCAUAUUUGUAACUCAAAGCAGGAGCUACGAAAUAAGCGGAGACUGGCGAAGGACGAGGUGACGAUGCGCGUCGGGAAUGGUUCCAAGGUCGAUGUGAUUGCUGUUGGCACGCUACCUCUGCAUUUACCUACGGGAUUAGUUUUAAACCUCAAUAAUUGUUAUUUAGUGCCAAGUUUGAGCAUGAACAUUGUAUCUGGAUCUUGUUUAAUACGAGAUGGCUACUCAUUUAAAUCCGAGAAUAAUGGUUGUUCUAUUUAUAUGAGGGGUAUGUUUUAUGGUCAUGCCCCGAUGGUCAAUGGUUUAUUCUUAAUGAAUCUCGAAUGUAAUGUUACACAUAUUCAUAGUGUGAAUACCAAAAGAUGUAAAGUUGAUAACGAUAGUCCCACAUACUUGUGGCACUGCCGCUUUGGUCACAUUGGUGUCAAGCGCAUGAAGAAGCUCCAUGCUGAUGGACUUUUAGAGUCUCUCGAUUAUGAAUCAUUUGACACAUGCGAACCAUGCCUCAUGGGCAAAAUGACCAAGACUCUGUUCUCCGGAGCAAUGGAGCGAGCAACCAACUUAUUGGAAAUCAUACAUACCGAUGUGUGCAGUCCAAUGAGCGUUGAGGCUCGCGGAGGAUAUCGUUAUGUUCUCACUCUCACUGAUGACUUGAGUAGAUAUGGAUAUGUCUACUUGAUGAAACACAAGUCUGAGACCUUUGAAAAGUUCAAGGAAUUUCAGAAUGAGGUAGAGAAUCAACGUGACCGAAAGAUAAAUUUCUUACGAUCAGAUCGUGGAGGAGAAUAAUUAAGUCACGAAUUUGGUACACACUUAAGGAAAUGUGGAAUCGUUUCACAACUCACGCCGCCUGGAACACCUCAACGUAAUGGUGUGUCCGAACAUCGUAAUCGCACUCGUAAUCGCACUCUAUUGGAUAUGGUACGAUCUAUGAUGUCUCUUACUGAUUUACCGCUAUCAUUUUGGGGAUACGCUCUAGAGACAGCUACAUUCACUUUAAAUAGGGCUCCGUCUAAAUCCGUUGAGACGACACCGUAUGAAUUAUGGUUUGGGAAGAAACCUAAGCUGUCGUUUCUAAAAGUUUGGGGAUGCGAUGCUUAUGUCAAGAAACUUCAACCUGAAAAGCUCGAACCCAAGUCGGAAAAAUGCGUCUUCAUAGGAUAGCCUAAGGAAACCAUGGGGUAUACCUUCUACCUUAGAUCCGAAGGCAAGAUCUUUGUUGCCAAGAAUGGAUCCUUUCUGAAAAAGAGUUUCUCUCGAAAGGAGUAAGUGGGAGGAAAGUAGAACUCGAUGAAGUACUACCUCUUGAACCAGAAAGUAGUGCAGCUCAGGAAAAUGUUCCUGUGGUACCUACACCGACUGGAGAGGAAAUUAAUGAUGAUGAUCAAGGUACUUCGGAUCAAGUUGCUACUGAACUCAUAGGUCCACAAGGACACGUUCCACACCGGAGUGGUAUGGCAACCCUGUCCUGGAAAUCAUGUUGUUAGACAACGGUGAACCUUUGAACUAUGAAGAAGCAAUGGAGGGCCCAGAUUCCAACAAAUGGCUUGAAGCCAUGCAAUCCGAGAUAGGAUCCAUGUAUGAAAACGAAGUAUGGACUUUGACAGACUUGCCUGAUGAUCGGCGAGCGAUAGAAAACAAAUGGAUCUUUAAGAAGAAGACGGACGUGGAUGGUAAUGUUACCAUCUAUAAAGCUCGACUUGUUGCUAAGGGUUAUCGACAAGUUCAAGGGGUUGACUACGAUGAGACAUUCUCUCCCGUAGCAAAGCUGAAGUCCGUCCGAAUCAUGUUAGCAAUUGCCGCAUAUAUGAUUAUGAGAUAUGGCAGAUGGAUGUCAAAACGGCAUUCCUUAACGAACAUCUUAAGGAAGAACUGUAUAUGAUGCAGCUAGAAGGUUUUGUCGAUCCUAAGAAUGCUAACAAGGUGUGCAAGCUCCAGCGAUCCAUUUAUGGGCUGGUGCAAGCAUCUCGGAGUUGGAACAUUCGCUUUGAUGAGAUGAUCAAAGCGUUUGGGUUUAUGCGGACUUAUGGAGAAGCCUGCGUUUACAAGAAAGUGAGUGGGAGCUCUGUAGCAUUUCUCAUAUUAUAUGUAGAUGACAUACUUUUGAUGGGAAAUGAUAUAGAACUUUUGGACAGCAUUAAGGCCUACUUGAAUAAGUGUUUUUCAAUGAAGGACCUUGGAGAGGCUGCUUACAUAUUAGGCAUCAAGAUCUAUAGGGAUAGAUCGAGACGCCUCAUAGGUCUUUCACAAAGUAUAUACCUUGAUAAGAUAUUGAAGAAGUUCAAUAUGGAUCAGUCCAAGAAAGGGUUCUUGCCUGUAUUGCAAAGUGUGAGAUUGAGCUCGGCUCAAUGCCCGACGACGGCAGAAGAUAAAGAAGAGAUGAGUGUCAUCCCCUAUGCCUCAGCCAUAGGAUCUAUUAUGUAUGCCAUGCUAUGUACCAGACCUGAUGUAAACAUUGCCGUAAGUUUGGUGGGAAGGUACCAAAGUAAUCCCGGCAAGGAACACUAGACAGCGGUCAAGAAUAUCCUGAAGUACCUGAAAAGGACAAAGGACAUGUUUCUCGUCUAUGGAGGUGACGAAGAGCUCGUCGUAAAGGGUUACGUCGAUGCUAGCUUCGACACAGAUCUGGAUGACUCUAAGUCACAAACCGGAUACGUGUAUAUGUUGAAUCGUGGAGCAGUAAGCUGGUGCAGUUGCAAGCAGAGCGUCGUGGCGGGAUCUACAUGUGAAGCGGAGUACAUGGCAGCCUCGGAGGCAGCGCAUGAAGCAAUAUGGAUGAAGGAGUUCAUCACCGACCUAGGAGUCAUACCCAAUGCGUCGGGGCCGAUCACUCUCUUCUAUGACAACAUUGGAGCUAUUGCCCUUGCCAAGGAGCCCAGGUUUCACAAGAAGACCAGGCACAUCAAGCGUCGUUUCAACUCCAUCUUUGAAAAUGCUCAAGAUGGAGACAUAGACAUUUGCAAAGUACAUACGGAUCUGAAUGUCGCAGAUCCGUUGACUAAACCUCUUCCGCGAGCAAAACAUGAUUAACACCAGAACUCUAUGGGUGUUCGAUUCAUCACAAUGUAACUAGAUUAUUGACUCUAGUGCAUGUGGGAGACUAUUGGAAAUAUGCCCUAGAGGCAAUAAUAAAAGGAUUAUUAUUAUAUUUCCUUGUUCAUGAUAAUUGUCUUUUAUUCAUGCUAUAAUUGUAUUAUCCGGAAAUCGUAAUACACGUGUGAAUACAUAGACCACAACAUGUCCCUAGUGAGCCUCUAGUUGACUAGCUCGUUAAUCAACAGAUAGUCGUGGUUUCCUGACUAUGGACAUUGGAUGUCAUUGAUAACGAGAUCACAUCAUUAGGAGAAUGAUGUGAUGGACAAGACCCAAUCCUAAGCAUAUCACAAGAUCGUGUAGUUCGUUUGCUAGAGCUUUUCCAAUGUCAAGUAUCUUUUCCUUAGACCAUGAGAUCGUGUAACUCCCGGAUACCAUAGGAGUGCUUUGGGUGUACCAAACGUCACAACAUAACUGGGUGACUAUAAAGGUAUACUGCGGGUAUCUCUGAAAGUGUCUCUUGGGUUGACACGGAUCGAGAUUGGGAUUUGUCACUCCGUAUGACGGAGAGGUAUCUCUGGGCCCACUCGGUAAUGCAUCAUCAUAAUGAGCUCAAAGUGACCGAGUGUAUGGUCACGGGAUCAUGCAUUACGGUACGAGUAAAGUGACUUGCUGGUAACGAGAUUGAACGAGGUAUUGGGAUACCGACGAUCGAAUCUCGGGCAAGUAACAUACCGAUUGACAAAGGGAAUUGUAUACGGGGUUGCUUGAAUCCUCGACAUCGUGGUUCAUCCGAUGAGAUCAUCGAGGAGCACGUGGGAGCCAACAUGGGUAUCCAGAUCCCGCUGUUGGUCAUUGGCCGGAGAGCCAUCUCGAUCAUGUCUACGUGUCUCCCAAACCCAUAGGGUCUACACACUUAAGGUUCGGUGACGCUAGGGUUGUAGAGAUAUUAGUAUGCAGCAAACCGAAAGUUGUUCGGAGUCCCGGAUGAGAUCACGGACGUCACGAGGAGUUUCGGAAUGGUCCGGAGGUAAAGAAUUAUAUAUGGGAAGUCGAGUUUCGGCCAUCGGGAAAGUUUCGAGGGUCACCGGUAUUGUACCGGGACCACCGGAAGGUUCCCGGGGGUCCACCGGGUGGGGCCACCUAUCCCGGAGGGCCCCGUGGGCUGAAGUUGGGAGGGGAACCAGCCCCUGGUGGGCUGGUGCGCCCCUCCCUUGGGCCCCCCCUGCGCCUAGGGUUGGAAACCCUAGGGUGGGGGGCGCCUCCACUUGCCUUGGGGGGCAAGCCACCCCCCUUGGCCGCCGCCCCCCUUGGAGAUGGGAUCUCCUAGGGCCGCCCCCCUGGGGUCCCUAUAUAAAGAGGGGGGAGGGAGGGCAUCCGCACCCUUGCACUUGGUGCCUCCCUUCCCCCUUGCUACACCUCUCCCUUCCGCAGACGCUUGGCGAAGCCCUGCCGGGAUCCCUGCUGCAUCCACCACCACGCCGUUGUGCUGCUGGAUCUUCAUCAACCUCUCCUUCCCCCUUGCUGGAUCAAGAAGGAGGAGACGUCACGCUGACUGUACGUGUGUUGAACGCGGAGGUGCCGUCCGUUCGGCGCUAGGAUCUUCCGUUGAUUUGGAUCACGACGAGUACGACUGCCUCAACCUCAUUCUCUUGAACGCUUCCGCUCGCGAUCUACAGGGGUAUGUAGAUGCACUCCCCUCUCUCAUUGCUAGAAGAACUCAUAGAUUGAUCCUUGUGAACGUAGGAAUUUUUUUAUUUUAUUCAACGUUCCCCAACAAUAUUCACUCUGAUAUUGCCACUAAUGAUUAAUGCAUGCAUAGGGUUUUAAAAAUUCUCUCUUUAUUGUGUUUCUACAGGCAAUGGGCUAAAUAUGGGUGAAAUAAAGUGGGACACAUGGAAAGGAGUGAAAUAGGAGAUAGGAGAAAUCAUGAGGAGGUGCACCAGGCCACAGAGCAAAGACAAUGUUCCAUGCGACUACGACCGCUUGCAUGAGCGAUCAUAUGGCAUGGAAACCGAGGCCUCUCGUUCAGCUGAACAACUUUUAUAAAGGGGUCAAGACCGAAAUGUCAACAGAACAUCCACGAGCAAAGCUAGAACAGAGUCGUCCUCAUCCUUCUCCAUCAACCCUAGCCGCCACUAUUUCCAUCUCCGUAGCCACCGUAAUCCUUCUUAUAGAUCAUACAUGUAAUCAUGCAUCGCACACGACAUUCAUUGUAAGACAUAUUAUAAAUCAAUCAAUCUCCAUUAUGUGUUCUUUGCGUGAUCUGAUCUCCAUGUCUGAGUAGUUCUGUAAGGUAUGGGUUGAGGCAAGAGCCUUGCAGCCCUCUGUAUUUGUUGUGGGGAUCAAUGGAAGUGCUUUGAAUUAACGUCUCAUAUGUGUGAAAUAAAAUUGUUCCGUAGAUGUCUCUUAUCUCGCCUGCAUUUUUCAUCCAUGCAAGCACCCAUGAUCAUGGAGAGCGAGCCAUGGAGAAGCUAAGGCAGGGGGGGCAUGAAGUGUUAUUCUGAACACCAGUGACAGAAGGGUUUAGUAGGGUAACACAGAUCCUAUCUCUAGGGAUUCAAGAGGUGUAAUCAUUAAACGCCCAAAGCUCUUGCCUAUUGCAAUCUUAAUUAUCGAGGCAACCCCGCGAGACGGAUAGGUCAAGAUGUAAUCAUUGGACAACUGGUUCUUGAUGCAGAACGCGUGUCGGUCAAGAUGUAAUCUGGACACAUCCUCCAUGCCUGUUCAUAACAAGCACAUCUUGACUGGUGACUUCCAGCGCACAACUUAAAAUCAUAUUUGGCCCCAGCACAAAUACAUGGUUGUAAGCAUUAAGAUCUCAUGCUCGUACCUAUUUUUAUUAUAAGUGUUGAACUCAAGGUUGUUUGAUUUUGAUCCGGUCAAAAGCUAGAGUUGUUUCUUUAACAAAAGCUUGCUAGAGACCCUGGCUUAAAGGUGGCCUUCCUCCCGCGGGUUCGAUAACUCAGGGUCACCUCCGGGUAAAUAGGUGAGAAUACUUUCUCCUCCAUUUUUGGAUCACUAAAGGAAGUAAUCAAAGCCUUUUUCUGGCGCCGUUGUCGGGGAUGAGUUGAGUGUUCCUAGACUUUGUGUUUACAGUUUUUGUUAAAGUUUUAAUUUUAGUUUUAUUUUUUAUUUUUUUGCAAGUCCUGUGAGUUAAAAAAACCCAAAAGAUCACCAUGGCUCAUAAUCUUGGAAGUUUUGCUACUCCUAGCAAUAACUUUAUCCGUGAACCCAUAACACAACUUGAAUUUGUUGUCGCUGAGUGAGAUCAAACUGAACUUAGUUUCUAUGGUUCAACGGGGCCAAUUUGGAGGCUCUGCUUCUGAAGAUUCUGGUAUGCACUUGCAUAAUUCACUGAAUUGUGCAACAUGACACACGUUAGAGAUUAUGACCCUGACGCUUUGAAGUUGCGUCUAUUUCCUUUCUAUUUGAGAGAAAAAAGCACAAGAAUGGCUUCUAGCUUUACCUAGAGGCAGUAUAACUUCUUGGGCUGAUUGUUGCAGCAAAUUCUUAUGUAAGUUUUUCCCCACCUGCAAAAAUUAUGCAACUUUGUUCUCAAAUUAAAGGUUUCAAAUAGGAAGAGCGUGAGCCACUAGUGCUUGGCGUAGGAUAGAAUGAAAGAAGCCAUAAGGAACUGUGCUAACCAUGGAAUGGAGGAAUGGUUACUCUAAUAACCCACAAGUAUAGGGGAUCACAACAGUUUUCGAGGGUAGAGUAUUCAACCCAAAUUAAUUGAUUCGACACAAGGGGAGCCAAAGAAUAUUUGCAAGUAUUAGCAGCUGACUUGUCAAUUCAACCACACCUAGAGAUUAAUUAUCUGCAGCAAAGUGAUCGGUAGCAAAGUAGUAUGAUAGUUUUGAUAGUAGUAGCAACAUCAGUAGUAACAGUAACAGUGAUAGCAAUAAUUUUGUAGCGAGCGUAGUAACGAAGCAGUAGCAACUUAGUAAGAAUAAUAUGAGAGAAAUUCGUAGGCAUUAGGUCAGUGAAUUUGUUGGAUGAUAUUCAUCAUAUAAUAGUCAUAACCUAGGGCAAUACGACACUAGCUCCAGUUCAUAAAUAUAAUGUAGGCAUGUAUUCCGUAAAUAGUCAUAUGUGCUUAUGGAAAGAACAUGAAUGACAUAUUUUGUCCUACCCUCCCGUGGCAGCGGGGUCCUAUUGGAAACUAAGGGAUAUUAGGGCCUCCUUUUUAUAGAGAACCAGAACAAAGCAUUAACACAUGGUGAAUACAUGAACUCCUCAAACUACAGUCAUUACCAAGAAGUGUCCUGACUUCUGUCACUCCAGGUUUGCCGGAUCAUAACACGUAGUAGGUGACUAUAACUUGCAAGAUCGGAUCUAGAACACAGAUAUAAUGGUGAUAACAUAAACGAUUCAAAUCUGAAAUCAUGGCACCCGGGCCCAAAGUGACAAGCAUUAAGCAUGGCAAAGUCACAGUAACAUCAAUCUCAGAACAUAAUGGAUACUAGGGAUCAAGCCAAAACAGAACUAACUCAAUUACAUGAUGAAUCUCAUCCAACUCCUCACCGACCAGCGAACCUAUGAAGGAAUUACUCACUCCCGGUGGGGAGCAUCAUGGAAUUGGCGAUGGAGAAGGGUUGGUGAUGACGAAGAUCGAAGAUCCCCCUCUCCGGAGCCCCAAACGGACUCCAGAUCUGGUCUCCCGGUGAAGAACAGGAGGUGGUAGCGGCUCCGCCUCAUGAAAUGCGAUAAUUCUUUCUCCCCGAUAUUUUUCUCUAGAUAUGUGAUUUUAUAGUAUCAAAGUUGGAGUCUGCGGGGCCACUAGGUGGGGACAACCCACCUGGGCGCGCCUGGAGGGGGGGCGCCCUGGUGGGUUGUGCCCACCUAGGUGCCCCCCUCCAAUGGUUCUUGGCUCCAGAAAUUAUCUUUAUUUGUAUAAAAUUUUCUCGCAAAGUUUCGUUCCAAUCCGAGAACUUUUAUUUCUGCACAAAAACAACACCAUGGUAGUUCUACUGAAAACAGCGUCAAUCGGGGUUAGUUUCAUUCAGAUCUUGCAAAUUAGAGUCCAAAACAAGAGGAAAAGUGUUAAGGAAAAGUAGAUACGACGGAGACGUAUUAACUCUCCCAAGCUUAAACCUUUGCUUGUCCUCAAGCAACUCAGUUGAUAAACUGAAAGUGAAAAGGAAAAACUUUUACGAACUCUUUUUCUCUUGUUUACAUAAAUAAGCUUAAGUAGCACCCAAGUUUUCAGCAAAGAUUAUAACUAACCAUGUCGAUAAUAACUCUUGAAAAUUAUACUAACUCAUAUCAAUGACAUAAUCAACUAGCGAGCAAUAAUAAAAUAUCUCAAACUACAACACUUUGUCAAAACAACCAUGAUAUAAUAUGAAAGAAGUGGUAUCUCACUAGCCCUUUCUGAGACCACAAAACAUAAAUGCAGAGCACCUCCAAAGUUCAAGCAGCGACUAAACAUUAUAAUUCAUGGUAGAAAAGAUCUAGUCAUGAUGCACCCAACAUUAGCUACACACAAUGCAUGAGGAUGACAGUAGUGAUCUCAGGUUCUGGCGCUUAUUUGAGAAGGUGAUGACACAACAUAAAAGUAAAUAGAUAGUCCCUUCGCAGAGGAAGCAGUGAUUUGCAGAGGUGCCAGAGCUAAAGUUUUAAAACAGAGGUAAAUGAAAUUUUGAGAAAUGCACCAUUCAUGUUUACUUCGCGACCAUUAGUUAUCGACAUCUUCCAUGCUAAACACAUUAGUGGCGGUUCCCAAGCGAUAAAAGAAAAAAUUGAUCGACGUUGCUGACAGCAAAGGGCGUCCCAUUCGAAAAUAUCAAACGCAUGUCUUCUUGCUAAAAUGAAUGAGCAAAAUUUGACAGGGUUGUCCCAUUCCAAAAUAUCAAAUGCCUACGAUUGUGGAAUGGGCAUGGUUUGCCAUUAGUUCGGACAUUGACAUGGCACCUCGUGCUAAAUAAACCAGCUGUUCUUUUUGUGCAGUUCCACCAAAAUCAACCAAAUUUGCGCGUAGCUUGUAUGAUUUCACCCUUAUAUGUUGCAACGCCUUGAACUUAUCGGCACCUCCUUUCUUGUGGUGGAAAUGAAUGAUUCUAUGUAUUCAUGAACAUUUUGUGUAGUUCCCAUUGAAAUCAAGCCAAGCACCCCUGUUUGCACAAAUACAAAAAAAGCGAUUAGUAUAAAGCAAAUUGUACUAUGAAUUGACAGUUUAAACAGGCACCUACAUGGUCCAUGUAGAGACACUUUUAGAAAAAUGGAACUCACCGGAAAGAAUCCUAGAACAACAUUGUACUCGUGCAUCACAACAAGAAAAUGGAGAUUUGUCAGUCCUUCUGAGCUGAAGUUAGUUUGGUCUUGUCGGGAGUAACAUAACCAUCCUUCAACUGCUCCUUCUGAUGAGAAGAUAGACAUGGCUUCUUCGUCUUGGCAUAAUCAGAACUAGUCACUUCACGUACUCCAUAUUAUUCUUCAUAGGAGGAUGAUCCUGUUGUGUGCAAAGACAAGAGGACAACUAAAUGCUAGCAUCCCUAUUUGCUUGAAAAAAAGGAAAUGAAAUAUUUAAAAUAGCACAGAUGAAGCACUUCUCAAGGACAAUACCACUUUUUCAUGACAGUAUCUAAACAGUAGCACAACAUCAAUAGAGAUGACAAAGCUCAAUCAUAUGGAUGAAAUCAGUGGGCGAGUACCAAACUUUGUCAGGAGGCUUAUUGUGUAGAGCUUACAGAUGAAGCACUUCUCCGGAACCAUCUGUUGCUAUCUACUGUGGUGGCCAUGCUUACUAUAUACUCCUCGAUUAGUUUAAUGUUUCCAACAUCUUCUUGUGCAGUUCCACUAAAUAUAUGGUAUCUUCAAAGUAGAUCCCUGUUUGCACAAGUAGAGAUGUCACGACCGGAUUUUCAAUAAAAUGAUUAUUGAUAAAACCGAUCUUUUAAACCCAGUAUAGGAAAAGUCAUCCUUUCUGGAAGACAAAGCUUGAUAAACAGAGAACCAGUAGUAUCAAAUAUAUUACAGGAUUGAGCUGAGACUGCUCAACAGUUUAUUACAAACCCGCCAAUAUCUUACAUAAGAGCGGUUAAGUCAUGGGGGUGGAUUGGCAUGCUACUAGCUCGAGGGAAAACGGUGGUGGAUAACUUGACUCCUAUAGGCAGUACAUCGAGCGUCGAGAUGAGGCUCGAUGAAUUUAUUCGGGGUUGCAGAAGCGGAUAAUACAAUGACCAAAACAUGAUCGCACGGGACUGACUGGGACUCCUCUAGGCGUCGGACUCGCUAUCAAACUCUUCAUCCAUGAGAUCGCCUUCAUCAACAUUUGGCCAAAUCAACAAGCCAGGUGAGUACUCGAAAGUACUCGCAAGACAGUUCGGACAAAAGAUAUAAUCAAUGAAUGCAUGAAUGCGUCAUGAUCCAGGAUGAUGCUCAUACAAUAACGAUAAUAUUGCAGUACGUGAAGAAUAAAAUAAAUAACUGAAAACUGAUCGGGUGUCUGAAGCGACGCCUCGAAAGGUAAAUAAAUAAAAUGCAUGCCGCAGUCGGGCGUCUAAGCGACACCACAUAAAGGGCUUAAAAGAAAUACCACAGUCGAACGUCUGCGCGACAUCACAGACAGGGCUUAAAAGAAAUGCCACCGUCGGACGUUUGAGCGACAUCACAGACAGGGCUUUAGGAGAAAUGCCACCGUCGGACGUCUGAGCGACAUCACAGACAGGGCUUUAAAAGAAAUGCCACCAUCGGACGUCUGAGCGACAUCACAGACAGGGCUUUAAAAAGAAAUGCCACCGUCGGACGUCUGAGCGACAUCACAGACAGGGCCUAUAAUAAAUGUAAAUACAAGAUUAGUCCAUCCACAAGAAUAAUCUUUUAACCGGAUUUAUCUCACAUAAAUCCCACCGGGUUUUUGUCACUGAGGUUGAUACCUGACAAGAUAAGAUGAAUAUAGUACUUGAACAAAGCACAAGAUAAUUGAAGGAUUUGAGACUCUGCAGAGUUUGGAUGAACUGACCACAGCUAACGGAUUUCCGUAGUCACGAAGGACUAGUUCCGUUUACGGUAUUUCAGUAGAAACACAUUUAACUAGUACACACCCAUUUCACCUCACGAUGCCAGGAAUCACCCUGGACAACGUCCAAGAAAAACUUUGAGACAGGUAGGCCACAACCUCGAAUAGCAUGGGAUCAAAUUUCUAUACGCGCGCUCUAAGGGGUGCCCCCCUCUCGGUCCCAACCGGAAACACCCAUGCCCCCUGACCGGAUGACGGGCUUUAAUCCAGGGCCAUGGAACCCUCAUCCCGGCCUCUCCACUUGGUGUGUACCAGGAAAACGGUUACAACUUACUAUGCCAUAUCCCUUGCGGAAAAUAAGUGGCAGCACAGGAAGGAAGUGAAAGGAAUAUGAUUUGAUCAUGUUGACACUGCUGUCAAAGGACUAGCCUAAGCCUGGCAUGUCACAACACUGCCAUCUUAUCCAUCCUCACGCCAACACAUGGCUAUGCAAAUAUGUAUCCAACAACAUAAUGCUUACCGAAACUUACUUUCCGAUUAUAUAUAUGAAAUAUAACAUUUAAUAGUUGUUCAUAAACAUGCCAUGAACAUACAAAAAUGCAAACACGCAACAACACUCAUCAUAUCAAGAGUUCAAACAUGCUUGCCUGGUUUGGAGUAGUCGGAGCCUAACUGUGCGAGGUUUGUAGCUCCGUCAUCUCCUUCGGUAUCUACGGUAUAAGAAAAGAUACGCACGCAAUGCAAAUGCCGUGAGUGUACAGAAA